rnacentral:lncRNA from 1 species
GUACUUAGGUGUUCUUAUUUGCAAUUUUAAGGUGCCCAAGAAAUGAGAAGAAAGAACAAAGGCCAAGUCCAUUGGUCAAUUUGUACAAAAUAACUUGAGGCCUGGCCAGGUGUCCAUCCAGUUGAAUCAUCUGUCAUGUGGUUUCCAGCACGACUAAUCAUCUCGAAGUCUCCCUACAUCUCUGCGG